rnacentral:lncRNA from 1 species
GCGAAAAAAGGCCCCAAAAAACGGGUGGGCUAUAGCCUUGGGGGGUGGGGCUGGUCAACUUCGUCCGCCGGACUCGGAAUGCCGCGAGACAUUGCGAGGGGCCUCCGUGUGCCAAAAAUAGGCCGCGGGCAAAGCCGCCCCCAAAAAUAACCGCCCGAAGGCCGGGGCGCCAAGUUCGUCCAGCGGAAAAAGGCCACAAAAACGGGUGGCCUAUAACAUUGGGGGGUGGGGCUGGCCCACUUCGUCCGCCGGACUCGAAAUGCCGCGACACAUUACGAGGGGCCUCCGUGUGCCAAAAAUAGGCCGCGGGCGAAGCCGCGCCCAAAAAUAACCGGCCGAAGGCCGGGGCGCCAAGUUCGUCCAGCGGAAAAAGGCCACAAAAACGGGCGGGCUAUAGCCUUGGGGGGUGGGGCUGGCCAACUUCGUCCGCCGGACUCGGAAUGCCGCGAGACUUUGCGAGGGGCCUCCGUGUGCCAAAAAUAGUCCGCGGUAAAAGCCGCGCCCAAAAAUAACCUCCCGAAAGCUGGGGCGCCAAGUUCGUCCAGCGGAAAAAGGCCACAAAAACG